rnacentral:rRNA from 1 species
UACGUAGGGUGCAAGCGUUGUCCGGAAUUAUUGGGCGUAAAGAGCUCGUAGGCGGUCUGUCGCGUCGGCUGUGAAAACUCGGGGCUCAACCCCGAGCCUGCAGUCGAUACGGGGCAGACUAGAGUGCUGUAGGGGGAGACUGGAAUUCCUGGGUGUAGCGGUGAAAUGCGCAGAUAUCAGGAGGAACACCGGUGGCGAAGGCGGGUCUCUGGGCAGUAACUGACGCUGAGGAGCGAAAGCGUGGGGAGCGAACAGG